UCGAUCUCAAAUCAGGUAGGACUACCCGCUGAACUUAAGCAUAUCAAUAAGCGGAGGAAAAGAAACUAACAAGGAUUCCCCUAGUAACUGCGAGUGAAGCGGGAAAAGCUCAAAUUUAAAAUCUGGCGUGCCUCUGGCCGUCCGAGUUGUAGUCUGGAGAAGCGUCUUCCGUGUUGGACCGUGUAUAAGUCUCUUGGAACAGGGCGUCAUAAAGGGUGAGAAUCCCGUCUUUGACACGGACUACCAAUGCUUUGUGAUGCGCUCUCAAAGAGUCGAGUUGUUUGGGAAUGCAGCUCAAAAUGGGUGGUAAAUUCCAUCUAAAGCUAAAUAUAGGCGAGAGACCGAUAGCGAACAAGUACCGUGAGGGAAAGAUGAAAAGCACUUUGGAAAGAGAGUUAAACAGUACGUGAAAUUGCUGAAAGGGAAAC
rnacentral:rRNA from 1 species